UCAAGCGAACAAGUGCAUGUGGUGGAUGCCUUGGCGAUCACAGGCGAUGAAGGACGCGGUAGCCUGCGAAAAGCGGUGGGGAGCUGGCAAACAAGCUUUGAUCCACCGAUAUCCGAAUGGGGAAACCCACUCCGUAUGGAGUAUCCGUGACUGAAUACAUAGGUCACGUGAAGCGAACGCGGCGAACUGAAACAUCUAAGUAGCCGCAGGAAAAGAAAUCAACCGAGAUUCCCAGAGUAGUGGCGAGCGAAAUGGGACCAGCCUGCAUUCUUUAUCUGUACCGUCAGCCGAACGCUCUGGAAAGUGCGGCCAUAGUGGGUGAUAGCCCCGUAGGCGAAGGCGGAAUGGAAGAACUAGGUAUGCGACAAGUAGGGCGGGACACGUGAAAUCCUGUCUGAAGAUGGGGGGACCAUCCUCCAAGGCUAAAUACUCGUGAUCGACCGAUAGUGAACCAGUACCGUGAGGGAAAGGCGAAAAGAACCCCGGGAGGGGAGUGAAAUAGAUCCUGAAACCGCAUGCAUACAAACAGUCGGAGCCUCGCAAGGGGUGACGGCGUACCUUUUGUAUAAUGGGUCAGCGACUUACAUUCAGUGGCAAGCUUAACCGAAUAGGGCAGGCGUAGCGAAAGCGAGUCCGAACAGGGCGUCCAGUCGCUGGGUGUAGACCCGAAACCAGGUGAUCUAUCCAUGGCCAGGUUGAAGGCACGGUAACACGUGCUGGAGGACCGAACCCACUAACGUUGAAAAGUUAGGGGAUGAGCUGUGGAUAGGGGUGAAAGGCUAAACAAACCUGGAAAUAGCUGGUUCUCUCCGAAAACUAUUUAGGUAGUGCCUCGUGUAUCACCUUCGGGGGUAGAGCACUGUCAUGGUUGAAGGGUCCAUUGCGGAUUACUUCGCCAUAGCAAACUCCGAAUACCGAAGAGUGCAAUCACGGGAGACAGACAUCGGGUGCUAACGUCCGGUGUCAAGAGGGAAACAACCCAGACCGCCAGCUAAGGUCCCCAAAUAUGACUAAGUGGGAAACGAAGUGGGAAGGCUAAAACAGUCAGGAGGUUGGCUUAGAAGCAGCCACCCUUUAAAGAAAGCGUAAUAGCUCACUGAUCGAGUCGUCCUGCGCGGAAGAUGUAACGGGGCUAAGUCAUAUACCGAAGCUGCGGAUGCGAGCUAGUCUCGCAUGGUAGGAGAGCGUUCCGUAAGCCUGCGAAGGUGCGUUGAAAAGCGUGCUGGAGGUAUCGGAAGUGCGAAUGCUGACAUGAGUAGCGAUAAAGGGGGUGAAAGGCCCCCUCGCCGUAAGCCCAAGGUUUCCUACGCAACGUUCAUCGGCGUAGGGUGAGUCGGCCCCUAAGGCGAGGCAGAAAUGCGUAGCUGAUGGGAAGCAGGUCAAUAUUCCUGCACCAUUGUUGAAUGCGAUGGGGGGACGGAUCGCGGAAGGUUGUCCGGGUGUUGGAAGUCCCGGUCCUUGCAUUGGAGAAGGCGCUUUGGCAAAUCCGGGCGCGGAAUUCAAGGGUGCGAGGCCAUCCACCUAGGUGGAGAAGCAACUGGAAGUGGUUCCAAGAAAAGCCUCUAAGCUUCAGUUCAACAGUGACCGUACCGCAAACCGACACAGGUGGGCGAGAUGAGUAUUCUAAGGCGCUUGAGAGAACUCGGGAGAAGGAACUCGGCAAAUUGGUACCGUAACUUCGGGAUAAGGUACGCCCUGGUAGCUUGACUGGCUUGCGCCAGAAGGGUGAAGGGGUUGCAAUAAACUGGUGGCUGCGACUGUUUAAUAAAAACACAGCACUCUGCAAACACGAAAGUGGACGUAUAGGGUGUGACGCCUGCCCGGUGCCGGAAGAUUAAAUGAUGGGGUGCAAGCUCUUGAUUGAAGUCCCGGUAAACGGCGGCCGUAACUAUAACGGUCCUAAGGUAGCGAAAUUCCUUGUCGGGUAAGUUCCGACCUGCACGAAUGGCGUAACGAUGGCCACACUGUCUCCUCCCGAGACUCAGCGAAGUUGAAGUGUUUGUGAUGAUGCAAUCUCCCCGCGGCUAGACGGAAAGACCCCAUGAACCUUUACUGCAGCUUUGCAUUGGACUUUGAACCGGUUUGUGUAGGAUAGGUGGGAGGCUAUGAAGCGUGACGCUAGUCUGCGUGGAGCCGUCCUUGAAAUACCACCCUGAUCUGUUUGAGGUUCUAACCUUGGUCCGUGAUCCGGAUCGGGGACAGUGCAUGGCAGGCAGUUUGACUGGGGCGGUCUCCUCCCAAAGGGUAACGGAGGAGUACGAAGGUACGCUAGGUACGGUCGGAAAUCGUGCUGAUAGUGCAAUGGCAUAAGCGUGCUUGACUGCGAGACUGACAAGUCGAGCAGGUGCGAAAGCAGGUCAUAGUGAUCCGGUGGUUCUGUAUGGAAGGGCCAUCGCUCAACGGAUAAAAGGUACUCUGGGGAUAACAGGCUGAUACCGCCCAAGAGUUCAUAUCGACGGCGGUGUUUGGCACCUCGAUGUCGGCUCAUCUCAUCCUGGGGCUGUAGCCGGUCCCAAGGGUAUGGCUGUUCGCCAUUUAAAGAGGUACGUGAGCUGGGUUUAAAACGUCGUGAGACAGUUUGGUCCCUAUCUGCCGUGGGCGCUGGAAGUUUGAGGGGGCCUGCUCCUAGUACGAGAGGACCGGAGUGGACGAACCUCUGGUGUACCGGUUGUGACGCCAGUCGCAUCGCCGGGUAGCUAUGUUCGGAAGAGAUAACCGCUGAAAGCAUCUAAGCGGGAAACUCGCCUCAAGAUGAGACUUCCCCGGGGACUAGAUCCCCUUGAAGGGUCGUUCGAGACCAGGACGUUGAUAGGUCAGGUGUGGAAGCGCAGUAAUGCGUUAAGCUAACUGAUACUAAUUGCCCGUAAGGCUUGAUCCU
rnacentral:rRNA from 1 species